rnacentral:rRNA from 1 species
UACGUAGGUGACAAGCGUUGUCCGGAUUUACUGGGCGUAAAGAGCGCGCAGGCGGUCGAUCAAGUCGAGUGUGAAAGCCCCCGGCUCAACUGGGGAGGGUCAUUCGAUACUGAUCGACUCGAAGGCAGGAGAGGGUAGUGGAAUUCCCGGUGUAGUGAUGAAAUGCGUAGAUAUCGGGAGGAACACCAGUGGCGAAGGCGACUACCUGGCCUGUUCUUGACGCUGAGGCGCGAAAGCUAGGGGAGCAAACGGGG